UACAGAGGGUGCGAGCGUUAAUCGGAAUUACUGGGCGUAAAGCGCGCGUAGGCGGGUUUGUAAGUCGAUUGUGAAAGCCCUGGGCUCAACCCGGGAACUGCAGUCGAAACUGCAAAUCUUGAGUGCCUGAGAGGAUGGCGGAAUUCCCGGUGUAGAAGUGAAAUUCGUAGAUAUCGGGAGGAACACCUGAGGCGAAGGCGGCUAUCUGGCGGUGCACUGACGCUGAUGCGCGAAAGCGUGGGGAGCAAACAGG
rnacentral:rRNA from 1 species